AGAUAGAUGAUAGGUACAUAGA
rnacentral:piRNA from 1 species